GACGAACGCUGGCGGCGUGCCUAAUACAUGCAAGUCGAACGCAGUGGGGACGGGUGAGUAACACGUGGGUAACCUCCCAUCAAAGGGGAUAACACUUGGAAACAGGUGCUAAACCGAUACUGAUGGAUGGACCCGCGGUGGAUUAGGUAGUUGGUGAUGUAACGGCGCACCAAGGCCACGAUGCAUAGCCGACCUGCUAGGGUGGUCGGCCAAACUGGGACUGAGAAACGGCCAAGAGUCCGCCGGGAGGCAGCAGUAGGGAAACGUCGGCAAUGGACGAAAGUCUGACCGAGAAACGCGGCGGGAGGGAAGAAGGUUUUCGGAUCGUAAAACUCUGUUAAGCGGGGCGCGGUAACGAAAUAGAAAGCCACGGCUAACUACGUGCCAGCAGCCGCGGUAAUAC
rnacentral:rRNA from 1 species